rnacentral:rRNA from 1 species
UACGUAGGGUGCGAGCGUUGUCCGGAAUUAUUGGGCGUAAAGAGCUCGUAGGCGGUGUGUCACGUCGGCCGUGAAAACCCGGGGCUCAACCCCGGGCCUGCAUUCGAUACGGGCAGACUAGAGUUCGGUAGGGGAGUCUGGAAUUCCUGGUGUAGCGGUGAAAUGCGCAGAUAUCAGGAGGAACACCGGUGGCGAAGGCGGGACUCUGGGCCGAUACUGACGCUGAGGAGCGAAAGCGUGGGGAGCAAACAGG